GAUGAACGCUGGCGGCGUGCCUAAUACAUGCAAGUCGAGCGAAGCGGGGACGGGUGAGUAACACGUGGAUAACCUCCUAUAAGACUGGGAUAACUUCGGGAAACCGGAGCUAAACCGGAUGCUUAUAGAAGGAUCCGCGCUGCAUUAGGUAGUUGGUAAGGUAACGGAUUACCAAGGCAACGAUGCCUAGCCGACCUGAGCGGGCGAUCGGCCAGACGGGAACGUAGACAUGGUCCAGACUCCUAGGGGAGGCAACAGUGGGGAAUGUUCUGCAAUGGGCGAAAGCCUGACGGAGCAAAGCCGCUUGAGUGAUGAAGGUCUUCGGAUCGUAAACAUCUGUUAUUAGGGAAGCGGUACCUAAUCAGAAAGCCACGGCUAACUACGUGCCAGCAGCCGCGGUAAUUC
rnacentral:rRNA from 1 species